GCUUACGGCCACACCGGCCUGAGUACGCCUGCUCUAGUCCGAACUCGGAAGCUAAGCAGGGUCGGGCCUGGUUAGAACUUGGAUGGGAGACUGCCUGGGAAUACCAGGUGCUGUAAGCU
ensembl:rRNA 5S_rRNA 5S ribosomal RNA